UACGGGGGGGGUAAGCGUUGUUCGGAAUUACUGGGCGUAAAGGGCUCGUAGGCGGCCAACUAAGUCAUACGUGAAAUCCCUCAGCUUAACUGGGGAACUGCGUGUGAUACUGGAUGGCUUGGAUGUGGGAGAGGGAUGCGGAAUUCCAGGUGUAGCGGUGAAAUGCGUAGAUAUCUGGAGGAACACCGGUGGCGAAGGCGGCAUCCUGGACCGACAUUGACGCUGAGGCGCGAAAGCCAGGGGAGCAAACGGG
rnacentral:rRNA from 1 species